UUUUUUUUUUUUUUUUUGGUUACUUAGUUGACGGCAGUUUACGAAAGUUAACCAUAUGGGUUAGCCUAAAUUAAUUUAAGAGUGAUGUGUCCUGCUCAAAACCCUUAGAUUAGAUAAAGAGUGUGGAUUUAUGAACUUAGACUAACUUUACGGGCUCCUCACUUUAGAGGAGCCGGAUCCGUUUGGUAUUUUUCAUUUCAAAGCGGGUUUGUCUGAUUUGUUGUGGAGGAUGUGCCCCCAUGCUACUGGUUUUUCAGUGUUUCAUAUUGUUGCAGAAAAAAGAAAAAAAAGAAUAUGGAUUAUCCUUGACGAAUGAUCCCCAUAAUGCCACGCAAUUUCUCAACUUUUUUCCAUCAAUUUCGAUUUACCAACGUUUUAUGGUGUCAAAAAAUAUUUUAGCGGAAAUUUAUUAGAGUAAUUUUUAGUAGAUUGGUUUUUUAGCUAUUUCGGAAAGUAUAUCAAAAUGAUCCUAUCUCGUUAAUGAAAGCAGUCACAAAGAUGAUGAAUUUCACUCAUUACACACAAAGAUAACACCGUUAUACAUUUCUUUGUCAUUUAGUCUAUUUUUAUAAAAUGAGCAUAAGACGAUCCAAUUUGCAAAUCGGUUGAUUUGCUAAAUUUGGAUCAUACUGUACUAAUACUAAGAUCACUUGAUCAAUAGCCUUUGAAUUUAAAUUCAAAUAGAACUUAUGUGAUCCAUUCUGAAAAAACUGAUAUGGGCAUUAGAGAUUCAUUUGCAUAUACAAAGCCUUGGUAGGGAAUUCAUUUGCUAACCCAAAUAAAUUGAAGAGCAAGUAGAAGUAGUAACCAAUACUUUUGAGGUGACGGUCGGUAGCUAGGCUUCAUAAUAGCAGAUUAGCAGGCUAGCAGCUAUCUCAUUAUGUAUACAAUGUUUUUUUAACAAGGAAUUAAGAAUGACUUGAACAUGACAUGUUUUUCUUUUACGACAAAACAAAACAUGAAAACAAACUAUAACACCUACAAAUGCUCGAGCACAAUAUAUAAAUUUUUGGAUUGACCACAUAAGGUCAAAUACUCAAAUCAAUAGAUUUUGCAAGUCCUUUUACAAGUUUCAAACGCAUCGAACUUUGAUACACACUUUCAGGAAGGUAUUAGAUUCAACAUCAAACUUGUUUGAAUCAUCUAAAACAUGAUCCAAGUCUUUUUUUUUUUUUUAAAAAAAACUUUUUAUUAAAUAACUCACACACUCUACAUAUGUCAAUGAGAUUUGAACCCAUGACGUCAAAGUUGUUAGUUAACCACCUUAACCAACCACGUCACGGCUCACCGACAAAACAUGAUCCAAGCUUAACUAUUUAUUACAUGACAAUACAAAAUUACAAACCAAACUUAUAUGCAUCUUAUAUAUACUAAUUAAUCUCACAACAAUAGACAUAAUUCAAACUCUAAAGACACCAACAAACCCAGGAACAAUACCGGCCGUACUCUUCAACAAAGCCCCAGCACCAAAGGGCAGUCACAUGAAAAGCACCCGAACCAAAGGAGAAUGAAACAAUGUACCCCUCAAAAAAGCCAGAAAUGCCCCAUAUUGACCGCCUUCAGUGCAUUUUAUUCUUUGAUUUUCUUAUCUUCUCAAGUCUUCCUUUGCCAACGAGCUACUCUCACUGCGAUGGCCGAUUCUACCCUCUCUUGUAUGUUAUCAAAGAAUCGGAAAUAGGCAUACCUCCAUGAUUUCUUCAUAACCAAUGUGCCACAAACACUCCAAAACCCUGUGAUGAAGCCAAGUGCACCCUAACAUACAUACCAAGCUUCCCAUUAUCUUCAUUAUCGUCGUCAUUAUGACCAUCAUCAUCGUUGGGGUCAGCUGGUGCUGGUGCGGCGUCUCCCAGGCAGAGAGUUGAAAGAGGAACCCCACACAAGGAUGGAUUACUCUCGUAAAUGGAUGAAUCAUUGAGUGUUUGAAGUUGGUUACCUAAAGAAUUCUUCCGGACAAGUUGUUGUGAGACAAGUCCAAGUGAGACAAAGAGGUUAAUGAAGAGAGACUGUGUAGAAUAUGUCCGGAGAGGUUAUUGUGCGAGAGAUCAAGAGUUUCCAUCCAUUGCAAGUUUCCAAUCUUUGAGGGAAUAUUUCCGGUCAGAUGAUUUCUGAACAAGUUCAACGUCCCCAAGGCAAUAAGGCUGCUUAUACCUUUAGGGAUUUCACCAUCUAAGUGAUUUGAUGAGAAAUCAAUGGUAUUCACCAAAGGCAGAGUCUUGUUAUACACCAGUUCUUGUCCCUUCAAUGUCAAGGUGGUAGCCUCAAGAAAAUCCGAAAUAAAGGACCGAGUAACACCCGGAUCAGUGUCAUUACCAAAAGCCAAAGCAGUCAAAUUGUACAAACAUUGGGGAAUGGUCCCUGAAAAGUUGUUGCGGCUAAGAUCAAUGACAUGCAGAGAUUGAAAAGAGCACAAUCGAUUGGGAAUAUGUCCGCUUAUGGAGUUCGAUCGCAAUUGGAUCCUACGUAAGUUGAAAGAGAGGGUGAGGUACUAGGAGCUGAUGGAGAUGAUGGUGAAGUAGUGGAUGAUACUUGAGGGGCCACUGGUGAGGUGGGAGAGUUGUAUGGUCUGAUGGAAGAAUGGGAGGGAUCAAGUGACAUAGUGUGUGAUGAGAAAUAAAACUCCAAGAUCUCAGUCGCGGCGUUAUGUGCAGGAGUAGCAGCACUAGUCUCUCGAAAAAAACAAUUUUCAUUAAAGAUGACAUGUUUGGACAAAUAGACUCGACCUGUGGACAACCCUAGACACCGAUAUCCAUGAUGAUUGAGAGUAUUUCUGAGCCUGAGAUACGUUAAUUCAGUUUGAGAUCGAAGCCACAUCCCAAAGGCAGGACCUACUCUGCAGUCAACAAUAUCGAGUAAAUCAAGUUUGAAAGGAGGAACCCAGUCAUGAGCCACAUUCAAACUGAGGGAGAAAGGUUGCUCUGUGCUUAUAGCAAAAGACUCUACCUUUGUGAGAGUUUGGAAAUGGAUUCUGUUAAAAUGCCUUCCCACGAAUUCAAAGAUAGAUCUAGGUCAACUAGUUGUCCCAAACUUGCAGGAAUGGACCCAUUCAUAUGAUUCCUAGAGAUGUAUUGUACAUGCAGAGAGACUCAGCUUAAUAAAGGAGAACGAAUAGGUCAACACUUGCACGUCCUUAUACUCAGAGCAUAAAGAAUGGCUGAUAGGGGCAAUAUUUUAUAAACCAUUAUGCUCAGAAACAUGGUACAAAAUAGACCACCGCAGAUGGCAAUACUUUUGACACAAACCUCCUUCCGAGGCCUCAUCUCUUCUUCAUUCUGGAGCCUACUGCUGCUGUGGUGUGGAUUCAGCUGCUUAUGCUUUCCCUCCAGUAGAAUCAGAUUUUGCUUGUGAUGCUGCCAUUGCUACAACUUCACCAGGAGGUGGGUGGUCAAAUCUGCAGGAUGCGGCAUACUUGCAUGUGCCAGUUUUAAGGUAGUACACACAUAUAACAGCACCCUGUAAAAAAGCUCCACCCUAGUUAUAAGAUUUCAUCAUAAAAGAAUAGAUAUAGUAAAAUGCUAUGCAAUAGAAAACCCUGUCACUUCUCCCUGGAAAAAAAGGUUUCGACUGCUAACAUUCCAUUUCUCCCCUCACUAUCCGACUAUCGUGCAAACCGUAUACUCAUAGUAUUCAUAGCUUUACGAGAUAAGUGCAAUAUGCGCAUGCUGAUUCAAAUACUAAGCACAAUGUAAUCAUUCUUAUUAGGAAUAGGCGCAUGCUUUUCAAGUUUUAUGGAAUAUACUGGUACCCUGCUUAAAACAAGGAUUUGUUAACCCUACUGAUAAAAAGACGGGAUGAUCCCAAUAGAGUAUAGCUCCACCAUUCGUACCUCUCUCCUAGGUAGUCCAGCUAGUGUUAGCUUCACAUUUUCUUGUUGAGAUGGUUUUGUUGUUGACAACGGCACUGCUGGCCUAUCUAUUGGGUGAUGGAAUCUGCAUUGUGCACCAUACUUACAAACCCCAGUCUUCAUAUAGUACUACAACAUGGAAAAACCACAGUACAUAAACAUGAGAGUGAUCAUCAUAAAGUUCUGAAUGAUUCAGAUACAUGAAAAAGUAAUCAAACAGGACCAUUUCUGGCCAAAUGUGUACCAUAAGAUUCAAUAAUGUGGAUAGAUGAAGCAACACUUUAUGAAUAAUAUGAUGAGAACUAGAACGUGUUGAAAAUCAAAUUCAUAUACUCUCUUAGGAUCACUUUAAUUUUAAUAUUUUUGGUUAAAGGAUCACUUUAAUAGUACUGUAAAUACAACUCUGCUCUGGAAGGCCAAUCAUAUAAAAUUGGAAUCAAAUUUAACUAAAGAAGUUGCUUACUUCACACUCAGUUUGUCCGAAGCGCUGAGGAUAGACAGUAGGGUUCACUCCCAUCUGCGACGUGCAUAUAAUAACAUGAAUCAAUUUUAUAGGUGUAUGUGCGCGCGCACAGAUAUAUAUAUAUAUAUAUAUAUAUAUAUAUAUAUAUAUAUAGAGAGAGAGAGAGAGAGAGAGAGAGCUUCAGUUCAGUUACUGAUCAAACAAAAGGCCAGGUUAGACUUAUAAUACAAUAGGCCAUACUUACCGUUGUUUGCCCCAAAGUUUGGUAAGUGAAGGCAGAUGGAUUAGCAACUCCUAAGUUAAAACCAGCAACUGAAGGCGCUGGAAGAGGAUAACUGAUUGCAGCAACAGGUGGAUUGAUAUCUGCCCAAAAACUUAGCAAUUAAAUUCUGAUGCACACAAUUGGUUAAACCACAUGUAAAUAAACUCUAGAAUCUUGAGAAACAUAAUCUUAAAUAUAUACCAUAUCUAUCAGGGUGGUUGUACCGGCAAGUGGCCCCAUACUUGCAACUGAUUUAAUAAAACAAAAGCCAUUAUGACUUCUCAGUCAUCUAUAGUAAUCAUAAUCUAACAACAAAAGAAGACAUAACUGACCUUCCAGUCUUCAGGUAGAAUGGACAAUCAGCUUCACCCUGGUAGAAACAACAGACACAUGAUCAGAAAAGCAAUAUUAUCAUAAAGCUGAUACUGCAAUUUUGAAGAGGCUCAAUCAUCUGUACUAGUACAUACCGGUCUCACAGGAAGCUCUUUGGAAUUAUAUAAUAGUGCUGGAGUGAAUGAAACAAGAGGCUUCACAGCAACUUCACUGCUUUCCGUCUUAAGAGCUGUCUCAGUUUCGGCAGAUUUAUUCUCUUGAGUGGUUGAUGGUAUCUGGAUGUCUUUUGGGUGAUUAAAUUUGCAGGUUGCACCAUACUUGCAUUGCCCAGUUUUCAAGUAGAACUGUGUAGAUUUAUUUUUUUGGUCCAAAUCAACAUAUUUAAUAGAUAGAUAAUGCACAUUACAAAAGUAUGGGAUAGAUAUCUCACUGCACAUGGGGGUUCAGAAGGCCUCUCAGGUAAGGCAUUAACAUCACCAUUUUCCGAAGCACCCUGAAACCAGAGUAUGGUAUCAUAUCAUUAUAACUACAGUGAGCAAGUCUGGAUAAUAAUUAAAUCUUGGCAUCCUAAUACUUACCGCAGUAGCCAGUUUGUCCUUUGGAUGAUUAAACUUGCAUCUAAGACCAAACUUGCAUCUUUGAGUUUUCAGAAAGUACUAUGAGAUAUAGAAUAGCAGGGUAUAUGUGAGCUGUUUAACUGUUAAAGUCCUUAAACACACUAUAUAGAUAAAAAAGAAUAAAAAAAAUGCUACUCACUGGACAAUCUGGCGCUCCAGGUCUUUCAGGAAGGGACUCACUUGGAGCAGCAAGUGGAACCUAAAUGAACAAGAGAUCAAUUAUGUGUUUUAGCAAUAUAUCUUCAUCGGUUCUUUUGCCACAACUAAUAAGCAAACUGGAAAUAGCACACAAAGAACAAAAACAGCCGCAAACCAUUUUCUAAGCUUAACAGAUAGUCGAUGAAGAAUUGAAGAUGGUACAAAUAGGCAGAAAACAAUCACUAAGUAGACCAGCUGAAUUACUUGCCAGAAACAAAAUAACAAAUUAUAAAGUUGAGCAACUACCAUAACAGAAGGCUCAUCUAAACAUGUAUGUAUGUGGGUUAACCAUCAGAUGGAAACUCAGCUUACAUGGAAUAACCCUAUGUAUAGUGAUGAAAUGGAACAUAGGCUUAAUGAAGAAACUACUAUACUCUUGUUAUCACACAAUUGAUAGUGAUGAAAUUGAAACCCCUUUUUUACAUUAUAUAGGUGAAGCAAAGGAAUAUGCCUACAAAGACGUUAGGCUUUAGGCAAAACAAAAACAAAUAUUAUUGACCUACUAGCUGGCUUGACGCGCAAUAUUUAUCAACAACUAGUGAAUUGCUAAUGGUCUAAUGGAGCUUCCAAUCCUCAAUGAAUUGCCACACCCUUCACAUGACCAAUAAGGCAAUAACCAACUCAUACAUGACAAACACAUAAAGGUAAAAGCACCUUCCACUUGUGUACCAAUACAACCCUACAACCAAUCUGAACAGUUGAUCCUUAGCUUCAAGCCUUCAUGUUAGCUCCACAGCAUCUUGAAGAUACAUGCAGGAUCACUUCCAAAUUACCAAAAAGCCCCUCAUUUAUUUUGAUGAGAAUGGUAUUUCAGACAGACUACGCAUGAGGAAUCUCAAAACUCAGACCUAGUGAAUAUGCAUGCAAAUCCAAAGCAAAAAGGGUGGGUGCAUCAAACUUAUGUCACUUGAGGAUCUACACAACGAGACAUUCUACCAGAUAUACGAAAUCAAGACAUUGGGAGGCUCUUUACCUAAGCAAUAUUUAUGAGUGAACAUCCAUCAAUUCACUCACUGAAAAAUGUCCUUAAAUAGUUAAAUAUGCUUCAGACAGUUCACGUGACUAAUCAAUAGUGAUCAGUCUGCUCAUAUAUAGAUAGACUUUUACAGAAAUUGAGAUGAUACUAGAUUUUCAACAGGUGUUUUUCAAAAAUAAAAAGUUAAAAAUUGACCAGAAGACAAAAUAGAUAAGUUUUAUCCCUUAAUGACCCACAGGGUAAGAGGAAUGAGUGAAUGACCUACUAUGGAAAACUAAGAAGAGUACAAAAUUUCCCAACGCUGGACUUUUUGCAGAAAAUGUAGCAGGUAUAGAAACUAUAAAACAGAUAUAGCUAUAAAAGUAAAGAAUAAGUUACAAUUCAUACCACAUAACAGUAGAUAUUAUAGGAAGCUAGAAACAUAUACAAAUAACUCUAAAAAAAGUAUCUAUCCGUACCUUAAAAAACGCAACAGCUUACAGGAUAUGAUCAAUCCAUUCAUAAGCUUAGCGAAAUUAUAUAGAAUUGAUUAAUUAUUUUAAUAAAUGUACUUCAUAGUACUUGUAUAUAUUACAGUAAAAGUCAUAAAGCUAUAAGUAUAGGCAUAAGAUAUAAUAAUAAGCAGUCACCUCUUUCCAAUCUGGGAUUCCACCCUCAGGAACCCAAAUAGGAUGGUCAAACUUGCAGGCCUCUCCAAAUUUACACGUUCUUGUUUGCAUAUAGUGGGCACAAUCUUUCUCUCCUGGCCUCUGUGGAUAAAUAGGCAAGCUUGUAUUCUCGAAUCUAGGUCGCUUUGCUAAAGGAUUUGUGGAAUACCAAGCUUCCAUUUGCCCAAUCGGAUCAUGGGCACCCAAAAGAGCCUGAUGGUAGAGCGCUAUAGUACGUAGUAGACAAGUAUAUACAAGAAAACCAGAGGAAACGUAUAUGUUACCAUAUAGUAUAUAUAUCUUCAAAUAGUAAUUUGGAGUAAAAGAGAACACACACUAGAAACACAAAGAUAGACUCUUUUAUCUCUUUCUAUAAUAGUACAUAUUGCGCUAAAUGCACAUACAAAAAAGCUAUUAGCUAUUACACAUAUAAACUCUUCUACACUGCAUAGGCAUAUACUGCUUAUACGUAACAAACUAAACCUGCUAUGGCAUCGUUACACAGUCCCUUUAAUCUUUACGGUUUACAUCUUUAGUUAAACAGAGUUCAAGUCACACCACGAUCAUAAAACACCUAAUACAUUACUGAUCAAAAGCAAAAUGCUUACUCAUACUCGGCGAUAAGCAAACUAUAAACACACAUUAGCAUACACACCCUAAAGCUACUAGCUUUACAUAGUCAUUAGACAUAACACUCAGCAAAAUCUUAUAUUACUUUACAUAAUCACACUUCAUACUUGACUAAAUCACCAAGCUAUAAACACAAUCACAUCAGUUCACAACACGAAAAAUUCGAAAACUUUAAGCAAUUUGCAUCAAAUUCAAUUAAAAGAUUCAAACUUUCCAAUCAGCAAACAUAUAUGUACAGUAAGUGAGAGCUCACCAACCUUCAGAGGAGCGUUUGAAGCCGGGCGGGGCGGGUUCGGCAUCCGGGGCGGGCCAGGAUGACAUCAUGUAUGACGUGGCCCUGGCGGCGUCGGAGUAAGCGCCGAGGCCGUCGGAGGCGGAGAAGUACAUGGAGGAGGUGGAGAGAGGGUCGGACCCGGAGAGGUAACGUUGGGCCACCGGGUCGGAGAGGUAGGAUUGGGCGAGGGAGCGGGGGGUGUAGACGGUGGAGAGGGGAGGGGCGGGAGGCGGAGCUGAUUGGGCGGCGGCUCCUCCGUAGGUGAAGAGAUGGCUCGCCAUUGUUGAUUUGGAGGAGUAUUAAGAAGAGUGUGACCUAGAAUGUUUUACAGUGAAAGUGAAAUACUGAGAGCAGUGCAUUGUUAGAUUUAAGGGAUCAUGUUCCCUUUUGGAGGGUGGGUUAAUUUUGUUCAUCCCUUUUACUUCUUUUACUUUCAACCCAAUUUUUUACUUCUCUUAGAUGAUACUGAUGACUGAGAUGACUGGUAUGGAGUAUUGAUACAUCAAAAGGAAAAUUGUAAGAUUUUGCGGUCAAAACAUGUUUAACAUAUUAUUGUUAAGGGAGCCUGUUCUGGUUUUCGUGUUCUUCAUAAUUUUUAAAGAGAUUGGUUGAUGGAGCAUUUGACUACUAUGGAUGUGAUCUGCUUGUUUUGAUCUUAUGAAGAAGUACUUGCAUCGCAAUCGCUACUCUCGAUCUAUUAUGACGUCUAUAGAGAAGAUUUACAAAACCACACUCUGAAACUAUUAAGAAGUUUAUAAGAUGUAGUUGGUUAGGCUAGUUGAUUGAGGUGUGUACAUACAUCACCUAUACAUCAUAGACUAUACCCGUAUGAGUUGCCAAUGUGGCAACCAUCAUAUACUCAUUUGGGGGAGAAAGGCCAAACUUGUAAACCACUAGCUUCUACGCAUACAUGUUUCAUUUCUUUAUACAUGAUUAAGAAGCUUAAAAAAAACAAGUACAUAUAUUGUGACACUAAGCAACACAAACUCUUAAUGAAAUAUAUUAUUUUAGAAUAGGUUGAUUUCAUAUUGAAACGAAUAUAACUUUGAGAAAAUAUAUUAAGAUAUCAGAAAAAACUAAACCUAAAUAUUGUUCUAGUUUGAAUGUCUUUUGCUUUCGUGCUUAACAUACAAUAGUUACUCCAAAAUUUUGUUUUGAGAAUCCAAAACCCAAAAUCCAAAAUGUCAUACACUUUUACUACCUGAAAUCAUUUCCAAAGUCUUAUUUGUGCAAAUGGCAAUAUAACUGAAUUUGUUUGAGAGAUUUCUAAAGUCUUAUUAUUAUUAUUUUUUUUCGUUACAAAAUUUGUUUGAGAGAUUUUUUUUAAAGUCUUAUUUUUUUUUUACAAAAAAUUUUAUGCGAGAGUUUAGUUACGUUACACCAUCAUCGUCAUGAUAAACCUGCAACCUUAACUCUGACAAUGGACACGUACAUGUCAACAAGCCUCCAAGUAUGGAUUUUCACAAAAGAAUUUACAGAAGCCUCCAAGUAUGGAUUUUCACAAGAGAAUUUACAGAUCGCGAACCAACGAGGUAUACUGGUAGCAGGGAUCGAACUUAAAUGGAGUCUCCAUCACAAACCCGCCCUAGCCGACUAAACCCUUGCCAACUGAGACAAGCAAGCCAAACGAUAGCAUUUCCAAAGUCUUAUUUGGCAAUAAAGUUAAUUGGUUUGAGAGAUUUCUAAAGAGAGAUUGAUAGAUAUAUUGUUUGGUAUCACAUUAUUUCUGAGUCUACGUUUGAAAGAUUGAGAUAAGAUUGAGAUACACUGUUUGAUCGAUCACAUUGUCUAAAGAUAGAUACACGGUUUGAUCAAUCACAUUAUCUCCCAAGUCUCAAGCUGCUUCAUCAAUUGAUCAAUAUAGUUACAUUUGUGUGAUCAAUAUAUUAUACAUGACACCGUAAGAACCAAAUUUUCACUUGCUUGCAUAACCAUCACAAAAUCCAAUUUUGCUGUAAGAAACGAAUUUUCAUUCGCUAGUAUAACCAUUACACCGUAAGCUGCAAAUUCGUGACACAAUUCAAGACCAACAGAAUAGCAUGCAUAUUGAUAUAUUAGAAUCAUCAGUCUUUAGUAUCAGACUGAUGUAUCCAAUAACCUAGAUUUACUGAGGUGC
rnacentral:lncRNA from 1 species